GACAGAGGGUGCAAACGUUGUUCGGAUUUACUGGGCGUAAAGCGCGUGUAGGCGGCUUUGCAAGUCGGGUGUGAAAGCCCAGGGCUCAACCCUGGAAGUGCAUUCGAUACUGUGUAGCUAGAGUCCCGGAGAGGAUGGUGGAACUCUCGGUGUAGAGGUGAAAUUCGUAGAUAUCGGGAAGAACACCGGUGGCGAAGGCGGCCAUCUGGACGGUGACUGACGCUGAGACGCGAAAGCGUGGGGAGCAAACAGG
rnacentral:rRNA from 1 species